CACUGACCCAUGGACUCCGCUAGACCUCUGAAGGUGUGCUGUGGUAUCUGGCACCAAGACAUUAGCAGCAGAUCUUUUUCCAUUAUCCCACAAGGAGCUG